UACGUAGGGUGCGAGCGUUAAUCGGAAUUACUGGGCGUAAAGCGUGCGCAGGCGGUUUGCUAAGACCGAUGUGAAAUCCCCGGGCUUAACCUGGGAACUGCAUUGGUGACUGGCAGGCUAGAGUAUGGCAGAGGGGGGUAGAAUUCCACGUGUAGCAGUGAAAUGCGUAGAUAUGCGGAGGAACACCGAUGGCGAAGGCAAUCCCCUGGGCCUGCACUGACGCUCAUGCACGAAAGCGUGGGGAGCAAACAGG
rnacentral:rRNA from 1 species